UACGAGGGGGGCAAGCGUUGUUCGGAAUUAUUGGGCGUAAAGGGCGCGUAGGCGGUCGGAUAAGCGUGCGGUGAAAGCCCGGGGCUCAACCCCGGGUCGGCCGUGCGGACUGUGCGACUGGAGCACUGUAGAGGCAGGUGGAAUUCCGGGUGUAGCGGUGGAAUGCGUAGAGAUCCGGAAGAACACCGGUGGCGAAGGCGGCCUGCUGGGCAGUAACUGACGCUGAGGAGCGAAAGCGUGGGGAGCGAACAGG
rnacentral:rRNA from 1 species